GACGAACCGUGCGAACGUUAUUCGGACUCACUGGGCUUAAAGCGCGUGUAGGCGGGCCAUCACGUCGGUCGUUGAAAGCCCCCGGCUCAACCGGGGAACCGGCGCCGAUACGAGUGGCCUGGAGGGGGGUAGGGGGACCUGGAACUUCCGGUGGAGCGGUGAAAUGCGUUGAGAUCGGAAGGAACGCCCGUGGCGAAAGCGAGGUCCUGGACCCCAUCUGACGCUGAGACGCGAAAGCCAGGGGAGCGAACGGG
rnacentral:rRNA from 1 species